GGGGGGUUAGCUCAGUUGGUAGAGCGUCUGAUUUGCAUUCAGAAGGUCAGGAGUUCGACUCUCCUACUCUCCA
rnacentral:tRNA from 1 species